rnacentral:misc_RNA from 1 species
GCCAUCCUGCCGCUCGACGCGGUUCUUCAGCACGCCGAUGUUCUGAACCUCGAGCUCUAUCUCGUCCCCAUGCUCAAGGAACCAGCCAAGUUCGAGGCCGCAGCCAUUGCCGACCGUACCNNNNNNNNNNUCUCGUCCUGGGUGACAUGCUGGAUGAUCUCCUCAAACGAGAAGAGCAUGCCAUCGCUCACACCUUUGGAGCGAACCUCUCCAUUGACGCGAACUUCCAUAU